rnacentral:misc_RNA from 1 species
CCGAGUUUACAACUCCCAAACCCCUGUGAACAUACCUUAUCGUUGCUUCGGCGGGAUCGUCCCGGCUGCCCGAUCUCUCGGGCUCCGGACCCAGGCGCCCGCCGGAGGACCCCAAACUCUUGUUUUAAUCAGUAUCUUCUGAGUAAAUAAGCAAAUAAAUUA